rnacentral:rRNA from 1 species
GAUGAACGCUGGCGGCGUGCUUAAUACAUGCAAGUCGAGCGAACAGACGAGGAGCUUGCUCCUCUGACGUUAGCGGCGGACGGGUGAGUAACACGUGGAUAACCUACCUAUAAGACUGGGAUAACUUCGGGAAACCGGAGCUAAUACCGGAUAAUAUAUUGAACCGCAUGGUUCAAUAGUGAAAGACGGUUUUGCUGUCACUUCUAGAUGGAUCCGCGCCGCAUUAGCUAGUUGGUAAGGUAACGGCUUACCAAGGCAACGAUGCGUAGCCGACCUGAGAGAGUGGUCGGCCGCACUGGAACGGAGACACGGUCCAGGCUCCUACGGGAGGCAGCAGUAGGGAAUGUUCCGCAAUGGGCGGAAGCUUGACGGAGCGACGCCGCGUGAGUGAUGAAGGUCUUCGGAUCGUAAAACUCUGUUAUUAGGGAAGAACAAAUGUGUAAGUAACUAUGCACGUCUUGACGGUACCUGAUCAGAAAGCCACGGCUAACUACGUG